rnacentral:rRNA from 1 species
UACGUAGGGUGCGAGCGUUAAUCGGAAUUACUGGGCGUAAAGCGUGCGCAGGCGGUGAUGUAAGACAGAUGUGAAAUCCCCGGGCUCAACCUGGGAACUGCAUUUGUGACUGCAAGGCUUGAGUGUGUCAGAGGGAGGUGGAAUUCCGCGUGUAGCAGUGAAAUGCGUAGAUAUGCGGAGGAACACCGAUGGCGAAGGCAGCCUCCUGGGAUAACACUGACGCUCAUGCACGAAAGCGUGGGGAGCAAACAGG